CCUACGGGAGACUGCAGUGGGGGAUAUUGCACAAUGGGGGGAACCCUGAUGCAGCGACGCCGCGUGGGUGAAGGAGCGUUUCGGCGCGUAAAGCCCUAUCGGCAGGGAAGAAGAUGACGGUACCUGGCCAAGAAGCCCCGGCUAACUACGUGCCAGCAGCCGCGGUAAUACGUAGGGGGCAAGCGUUUUCCGGAUUUACUGGGUGUAAAGGGGGCGCAGACGGCAAUGCAAGCCAGGAGUGAAAGCCCGGGGCCCAACCCCGGGACUGCUCUUGGAACUGCAUGGCUGGAGUACAGGAGGGGCAGGCGGAAUUCCUAGUGUAGCGGUGAAAUGCGUAGAUAUUAGGAGGAACACCGGUGGCGAAGGUGGCCUGCUGGACUGUGACUGACGUUGAGGCCCGAAGGCGUGGGGAGCAAACAGGAUUAGAUACCCGGGUAGUA
rnacentral:rRNA from 1 species